rnacentral:misc_RNA from 1 species
AGUUGGAGGUCAUUUUUAAGUUUCUUCUCAGGAGUUAACAUGCUUCUAAUUGUAGGCCUUGCUUGAUGGUUUUUGAAAGUCUAGAAUAUAACUCCUGCAGAUAACAUAGUGACAUGAGGUUAGAGGAUUAACGAGCAUGGAUGUCCUUUUGUUCCUUGUAGGUUCAACAAGAAAUUUAUAGAUAGCCUACAAUAUACUAUUAACUCCUGCAGAGAUCACUGGGACAUAGUGUUGGAGGAUUAACAUGAAUGGAGGUUAGGUGUCCUUUUAUUGCUUAUA